CAGGGCUGCGGCCGUCCAGUUUGACACCCCUGGUUUAAGGUCUAUCAAACUGCUCGCUUAUUCAUGAAGGGUUACCUUACAGGGCUCCCUUUGUUACCUGGAGCAAAAGCUUGCAGUCAGAUGGGUCAGUUUCCUCACCCGGGUAUAAAUAUUAGGGAUGAUCACAGGAGGGAAUGUCCAACAUGGCGAACCUGCUUGUGUUUGUAAGCUGCCCUUUAUGUAGAUUUGUGUCUGUUUGAGAAGACGACGAUGCUGGAUGCUGUCAGGAAUACAGAAGAGCUGUAGCUGUCCCAGAGUCCCCAGCUGACGUCUUCACGCUAUUUUACUGGCUCUGUCCUCGCUACCCAUCCCAGUAUGCACUGCGGGCUUGAUCCCACAUCACUACAGAUUUCUCGUCUUGAAGAGAGACUCGUGAUAUUAUGACAUUUUCUCCCUAAAACUCUCUUGAGUCCCACUGGUCUGUUUGGGUAACACAGGUGAUGUAUCGAUUAGCUAAUCCCCCUCCUCUUUUAGACCCUCCCCUGAAGCAUACACUUGUUUACCAUGCGCUUGUCUCAUCCUUGCUCUGCUGACAAGGCUUAAUCACCCGUCCGAGUUGUUUGUUUUUACCCAGGGUGCAUCGCUGCACCCCGGUGUUUCAGUGUAGUCCUUAAAUCUGGUUUUUAUGCUCCCAGCACAGAGAAAGGAGCAGGACAUUACGGCUAUUGAUCGGUUUAUUAUGCGAGGCCUGAAUGGUGUUUGUGUUUCCUCCUUAAUCACUAAUUAAUCACGAAUUACCCAGUAGGUAUAGUACUAAUUCUGUGUUGUCUGUAUGGAGCUUUGGUCCGUUACAUAUUUGACUUUAGGAAUAAGCGACUUCAACAAAGCAGAACAUGCUCUUUAAAAAAAAAAAAAUCUUUUAAUUGCUUUUAAUAUCUCUCAUUUUUGUCCUGGACAUCCAAAUUCCCACCGAAAUGACCGUGAAGCCUCCAUCUGUGAAAGUCCCCGUUCUGGUGUAGUAAUGUCCUCCCCGCGUCCCGUGCUGAGUCAGCGUGAUGGCGGUACAUCAUUAAGGUCUUUGCGCUCCAUGUUUACGAGCGUUAGGUGAUACACAGAAACGCACUUUAAGCGCCGAGCAGCUAAAUCACCACCCCGGUCCAAACUGACUUUCCGGCGUAAAUUAGAACGGGAGUCCAUAUUGACAGAAGCUGCGGAUAUAUUUUCCGCUCCGGGCUGUAAAAUUGUCUCCUUUUCUUAUGUAGACAUCCUAUCUGAAUUAUUGCUUUGCUCCCUCCUGCCAUUUCUCACAAUAUCUGACGCCCCUCGUUCUUGCAUAGUCACCAACUUUCCACCCAGCUGGGGCUGGAUCAGUCUGCUCUGAGACGUGUCGUUUUCCAUGCUGAUGGGCUGUUUGCCUGUGCGGGUCACGUUCCCUUAACGGCGCUGGAUGCUUCUGUAGGUGCCCAGCUUGCCCUUGCUUUCCGAUGGCUGUGUUGCGUAGCGCCUAUGCUAACUGUCACUUGCUAACAGUCCAUCAUUGGAAGCUCUGUCUUGCUGCGUUUGUACUUAAGCUGGCUCCUUGUCAGCUGUGCGCCUGUGAUGUAUCACCUGCCGUAUGCGUCUCUGUGGACUAAAGCCUCUGCUAAAUAUAAAGCAUUCAAGCUUUAUGGGGUAAGCGUCUCUUUCCUUUGUGAAACGAAAUCCUGGAAGCCGGGGCCCAUGUGAGCACGUACGUUUUCAUGGUGAAAUCUGAGCGUUUGAAGGUCAGGACUCGAGGCCCUCAAACCACGCUGACCGACACCUUAUAGGGCAAGCCUUGCUAGCGGAACAGUCCGGAAAGCUGAGGCCGGUUCGUUCAUUGACCAUAAUCACUCAACGUGCCAGCCAAUCACAGCCCCUGUAAGGAAAAGUAGUAAUGAUGUCCCAAAGUUCUUGGUUGAUCAUGUGAAUACAGACAGUGUUAGCUAUUAAUGAUCAAGGGGGAAUGAUCAAAGGGGAAGCCAGGGAGAGAAUGGGGGUUCCAGUCGGCACCACUAGGGUGAUGAGGAAGAUGAUUGAAUUACAAUGAUCAGAAAGUCUCCACCCUGUCCUGCCCCAUCCCUGCCCCAGGCUCCUCAAAGUCCAGGGGGGUCACUCUUUAUAUGUAAAUUCACUCACAACACCUACA